rnacentral:rRNA from 1 species
GACGAACGCUGGCGGCGUGCCUAAUACAUGCAAGUCGAGCGAAGUUUUUCUGGUGCUUGCACUAGAAAAACUUAGCGGCGAACGGGUGAGUAACACGUAAAGAACCAGCCUCAUAGACUGGGACAACUAUUGGAAACGAUAGCUAAUACCGGAUAACAGUAUUUCUCGCAUGAGAGAUAUUUAAAAGUUGGUUAUGCUAACACUAUGAGAUGGCUUUGCGGUGCAUUAGCUAGUUGGUGGGGUAAAGGCCCACCAAGGCGACGAUGCAUAGCCGACCUGAGAGGGUGAUCGGCCACACUGGGACUGAGACACGGCCCAGACUCCUACGGGAGGCAGCAGUAGGGAAUCUUCCGCAAAGGGCGAAAGCCUGACGGAGCAACGCCGCGUGAGUGAAGAAGGAUUUCGGUUCGUAAAGCUCUGUUGUUAGGGAAGAAUGGAUAUGUAGUAACUAUACAUGUAAGAGACGGUACCUAACCAGAAAGCCACGGCUAACUACGUG